GAUGAACGCUGGCGGCGUGCCUAAUACAUGCAAGUCGAGCGAACGGACGAGAAUUUUGCUUCUCUGAUGUUAGCGGCGGACGGGUGAGUAACACGUGGAUAACCUACCUAUAAGACUGGGAUAACUUCGGGAAACCGUAGCUAAUACCGGAUAAUAUUUUGAACCGCAUGGUUCAAAAGUGAAAGACGGUCUUGCUGUCACUUAUAGAUGGAUCCGCGCUGCAUUAGCUAGUUGGUAAGGUAACGGCUUACCAAGGCAACGAUGCAUAGCCGACCUGAGAGGGGGAUCGGCCACACGGGAACGGGGACAGGGACAAGACGCCUGCGGGAGGCAGCAGUAGGGAAUGGGACGCAGUGGUCGAAAGCCUGACGGAGCAACGCCGCGUGAGUGGUAAAGGUCUUCGGAUCGUAAAACUCUGUUAUUAGGGAAGAACAUAUGUGUAAGUAGCUGUGCACAUCUUGACGGUACCUAAUCAGAAAGCCACGGCUAACUACGUG
rnacentral:rRNA from 1 species